UAAGAGUUGCAUUUUCAAGUGACCAUUUACACGUUUUCGCUUAUAUUAUCGACGUUCAUAAAUCUCGCGGGUGUACAUAUGCUGUUUGCGCUUGCGCCUUAUUUCAUACCUGUCAUAUACAUAUGUUAUAGACGCAACGUGACGUGUCCGUUCGUCACAUCUCCCCCCAUAACAUAAAGCUGUUUUUUAUCCAACGUUACAACACAAAAAAAAAACAGCGGGUUAGUAGUACCCAGAGUCCUUGUAAUUCCAUUUUAGUGAACGCUGUCUAUAAACUUACGCCUUUAUAUCGAUAUAAUUAUGCUCAAUUAAAAUUCUCGACAUUAUCAGUGUAACUUGAGUGCAAGACUAUUGUGAGGCAUCACGUUUUUCUAGCCUGUCUCAAAAGUCCAAAAUAGUACAUAGUUAUCUAGAAAAUAAAAAUAAUUGAUAGUGACUUAACCCUACAAAGUUAUGAAUGCUUACAUUAGUGAAUUUGUGGUUUUAAUUUAUUGGCGUGCACAAUCUUAUGACCGGCAUUCAGUUUUAUCUUAUAGUUAAUUUGAUCAUAAUCCUCUAUAAUUAAAAAUGGACCUAUAUAAAGUUUAUCGAACUUGUUCUUGCGUGGCUCUUUCAAUUUUCUGCUGCUUUUGUUUGAGUAUAACUCAAACGUUGAAGAAGAUUGUCAACCAGAUCAUUAUAAGUAGUGGGAAUGUUCUGUUUUGCAAAUGAGG